rnacentral:rRNA from 1 species
UUAGAGUUUGUAUCAUGGCUCAGAACGAACGCUGGCGGCGUGCCUAACACAUGCAAGUCGAGCGCGAAUGGGGUAACCCUAGUAGAGCGGCGCACGGGUGCGUAACACGUGGAUAAUCUGCCUGGAUGCCUGGGAUAACCAGUCGAAAGAUUGGCUAAUACCGGAUAAGCCCACGGUUUCUUCGGAGACUGAGGGAAAAGGUGGCCUCUGUAUACAAGCUAUCACAACCAGAUGAGUCCGCGGCCCAUCAGCUAGUUGGCGGGGUAAUGGCCCACCAAGGCAACGACGGGUAGCUGGUCUGAGAGGACGAUCAGCCACACUGGAACUGAGACACGGUCCAGACUCCUACGGGAGGCAGCAGUGGGGAAUUUUGCGCAAUGGGCGAAAGCCUGACGCAGCAACGCCGCGUGUGUGAUGAAGGUCUUUGGAUUGUAAAGCACUUUCGACCGGGACGAAAACCCGAAGCCCAAUACGCUUCGGCUUGACGGUACCGGGAGAAGAAGCACCGGCUAACUCUGUGCCAGCAGCCGCGGUAAUACAGAGGGUGCAAGCGUUGUUCGGAAUUAUUGGGCGUAAAGCGCGCGUAGGCGGCUUUGCAAGUCGGGUGUGAAAGCCCUCAGCUCAACUGAGGAAGUGCGCCCGAAACUGCAGAGCUUGAGUGCCGGAGAGGGUGGCGGAAUUCCCCAAGUAGAGGUGAAAUU